AAUGAACUCAAUGUCCAAGUUAGUAAUUGUGGAAUGCAUAGAGACCAAACUCUACUUAAAAACUUUAGCCAUAUUCAUCACAAGACAACCUAACAUUUGUUCCAAUCUACACACACCUUCAGAUCAUCAAUUCCCUUUAACAUUGAUUAAGCUCAAACCAUGAAUCAAGCAAAACAUUGUUGAAGAAUUCGUUUGGUUUAAAGGACAAGACUGAGAAACAAAGAUGGUUCCUCUGUAAAUGGUUUCAGACUUUUUCACAGUAACAGGGAACUCUCAUGAAUGGACAGAGCUUUAGUAGAAUGCUAAAGGUUAGAACCAACCUACGCAUACAAGAACAGACCCCAUCUACCC
rnacentral:lncRNA from 1 species